rnacentral:misc_RNA from 1 species
GACCAACAUAAAUAUUUGGUGCAUCUUAUAUAAUUUUAUGUAGCCCUUGACACUUGGUUAACAAAAAUGGCACAAGACUCCUACUUCAUUAAUCAGCUAUUAAUUUAACUAUAGUGUACCUCCAAGAGGUAUGGGUAACUGGAUACACUCUAACCUCCCACUCUAUGUGAUUUUACUAGGUAUAUUGUUGUUGUUAAUUUUA